rnacentral:rRNA from 1 species
GGUUUCUUGGAUUAUAUAGGAAAUNUNACNUNNNCNCUGAAAGUUUUUUGAAGGGCCGCAGUAUUUUGACUGUGCAAAGGUAGCAUAAUCAUUAGUCUUUUAAUUAAGGGCUGGUAUGAAUGGUUGAACGAGGUAAAUACUGUCUUGUUAUAAUUAUGGUUGAAUUUAGUAGUUAAGUUAAAAUUCUUAAGUGUACUUAGGGGACGAGAAGACCCUAUAGAGUUUAAUAAAAUAUUUAAUUGAUUAAGUUUAUUAUKAAUUUUUAAUUAAUUUURGGUUUUAUUUGGUUGGGGUGAUUUAGAGAUAUUUAAAACUCUUUAUAAAUAUUAAUAUUAUAUAUAGUUUAAUGAUCCAUACAAUUAUGAUUAAAAGAUUAAAUUACCUUAGGGAUAACAGCAUAAUUCUUUUGAAGAGUUCAUAUCGAAAAAGGAGAUUGUGACCUCGAUGUUGGAUUAAGAUAAAUUUUGGGUGUAGAUGUUUAAUAAUUAGGUCUGUUCGACCUAUAAUUUCUUACA